UACAGAGGUCCCAAGCGUUGUUCGGAUUCAUUGGGCGUAAAGGGUGCGUAGGUGGCGGGGUAAGUCAGGUGUGAAAUCUCGGGGCUCAACCCCGAAACUGCACUUGAUACUGCCUUGCUCGAGUACUGGAGAGGAGAUUGGAAUUUACGGUGUAGCAGUGAAAUGCGUAGAUAUCGUAAGGAAGACCAGUGGCGAAGGCGAAUCUCUGGACAGUUACUGACACUGAGGCACGAAGGCCAGGGGAGCAAACGGG
rnacentral:rRNA from 1 species